rnacentral:rRNA from 1 species
ACGCUAGCUAUAGGCUUAACACAUGCAAGUCGAGGGGAAACGGCAUUAUGUGCUUGCACAUUUUGGACGUCGACCGGCGCACGGGUGAGUAUCGCGUAUCCAACCUGCCCUUUACUUGGGGAUACCCCGUUGAAAGACGGCCUAAUACCCGAUGUAAUUCAUUGAUGGCAUCAGAUAUGAAUAAAAGAUUUAUCGGUAAAGGAUGGGGAUGCGUCUGAUUAGCUUGUUGGUGAGGUAAAGGCUCACCAAGGCAACGAUCAGUAGGGGUUCUGAGAGGAAGGUCCCCCACAUUGGAACUGAGACACGGUCCAAACUCCUACGGGAGGCAGCAGUGAGGAAUAUUGGUCAAUGGGCGCAAGCCUGAACCAGCCAAGUAGCGUGCAGGAAGACGGCCCUAUGGGUUGUAAACUGCUUUUAUACGAGAAUAAUUUGAUGCACGUGUUCGUUAUUGCAUGUAUCGUAUGAAUAAGGACCGGCUAAUUCCGUGCCAGCAGCCGCGGUAAUACGGAAGGUCCAGGCGUUAUCCGGAUUUAUUGGGUUUAAAGGGGGUGUAGGCGGUUUGUUAAGCGUGUUGUGAAAUUUAGGUGCUCAACAUUUAACUUGCAGCGCGAACUGUCAGACUUGAGUACACGCAACGUAUGCGGAAUUCAUGGUGUAGCGGUGAGAUGCUUAGAUAUCAUGAAGAACUCCGAUUGCGAAGGCAGCAUACGGGAGUGUAACUGACGCUUAAGCUCGAAGGUGCGGGUAUCGAACAGGAUUAGAUACCCUGGUAGUCCGCACAGUAAACGAUGGAUGCCCGCUGUUAGCGCCUGGCGUUAGCGGCUAAGCGAAAGCAUUAAGCAUCCCACCUGGGGAGUACGCCGGCAACGGUGAAACUCAAAGGAAUUGACGGGGGCCCGCACAAGCGGAGGAACAUGUG